AACAAUUUUUGCAGCUCAUAUAUAAAAUUGGAAUGAUACAGAAAAGAUUAGCAUGGCCCCUGUGCAAGGGGGGUCGAUUUUUUUUUUUUUUGUACUUCAUUGUC
rfam:Mus musculus chromosome 6 genomic contig MG4237_PATCH, GRC reference assembly FIX PATCH for GRCm38.